GAUGCUAUUGGCAAUACCAUCUCGGGGAGAUUCAACUAAAGGCACCACGUGAAAAGGUAGACAAGGAAGAGUUUGUCUGACUGCUUUACUAGAGACUAGGUAAUCUUAGGCCCAGGUCCAACCAGGAGUCUAGCUACAGAUACCACAUCCCAGUGCCAGCAGAGGGGAAUGACUGUAGAGCAGCAUUCAUGGAUGGCCAGGUGGGAGAGGGAUUUUACAACUUGAGUAAUGCUAAAGGUUAGGACCAAAAACUUCAGGGUAAGUGGUAGAGGAAAGGAGUAGACACCACAUAGUGGUCUAAGAUGGUGCCUAUCCGCACUAGUAAUAGUGGACUCUGAAGGUAGCCACAUGCACACCCACUCAGGCAGACAGAUACAGUCUCACACAUACAUACACAUAAACUGGAAAAAGGAAGCUCAACGUUUUUAGAAAAUGGAAUCAAGAUGCCUCCCCCCCCCCCCCAUAGGGACUUACUAUGUAGUCCUGGUUGGCAGGGAGCUUGCUAUGUGUAGAUCAGGAUGGUCUCACAGAGACCCACCUACCUCUGCUUCUUAAGUGCUAGAAUUAAAAGUGUAUGCCAGCUCUUCUUAAAAUUUAGAAUGUGUUCGUCCUUAGGUGCUCAGUGGUUAGAGCACCUAAUGUUUUAAGAGGUCAAUUCCUAACAUGUAUUGUCUUACAAUUAUAAUCUGUAAACUACACUGCCAGAAGAUGUAACUAACACUCUUCUGGCCUCUUUUGGUACCAGCAUGCAUAUGACGUGCAGAUAUUCAUGUAGGCAAACAUCCAUACAGCUUUUUGCUCUUACUCAUGUCUGGUUUUAUUGUCUCAAGGUUGUAAACAAAACUUUCAGUGUAAGUAGUCCAACAUAUUGCUGUAUUAAACCAGGGUUUCUACAAAGAAUUUAAAACAGAAUUUUCCUUCCAAGGAAAACCAAGAACUAGAACAAUGUUUAUCAAGAGAAGAUAAACAUCCAGGUGGGAUGCUUGUAAUCCCACUACUGGGGAAGCUGAGGCAAUUCAGAUUGCCACAAAUUAAAAGCUUGGGCAACAUGCUAAGUACAAGGCCUGCCUGGACUACAUUGUGAAAUCCUUUCAUAAAAAUAAAAAGGGAGUCUGGAGAGAUGGCUCAGCAGGUAAGAGCACUGACUGCUUUUCCGAAGGUCCUGAGUUCAAAUUCCAGCAACCACAUGGUGGUUUAUAACCACCUGAAAUGAGAUCUGACGCCCUCUUCUGGUAUGUCUAAAGAUGGUGACAGCAUCCUCGUCCUCAUCCUCGUCCUGCUACAUCAAUCAAUUUAGGGCCGGAAUGAGCAGAGGCCCGGAGUUGAACUCCCAGCAACCACAUGAAGGCUCACAACCAUCUGUACAGCUACAGUGUACUCAUAUACAUAAAUAUAAAUGAACAAAUCUUUAAAAAAAUUUAGAAAGGGGCUGAACAAGCUUAAGCACCACUUUUUGGAUAUCCAGAACCCAUGUAAAAGCUGGGUGGACUGGGUAGCCUGCCUGAGAUCCCAGCAAAUGGGAGGUAGAGACAGGAAUCCCUGGGGUAAGCUGUCGUUAGAUUAGUUGGGAUUGGCAAGCUCUAGUUUCAGUGAGAGACCCUACAUCAAGGAAGACACUAAAUGGACUGUAUGAGAUCCCAUUCCCUGCCUCUCCCUCCCCACUUCCCCCACCCCUGCC
rnacentral:lncRNA from 1 species